CACAGUUUGAUCCUGGCUCAGAACGAACGCUGGCGGCAGGCCUAACACAUGCAAGUCGAACGCCCCGCAAGGGGAGUGGCAGACGGGUGAGUAACGCGUGGGAACCUACCUUGUGGUACGGAACAACCAAGGGAAACUUAGGCUAAUACCGUAUGAGCCCGAGAGGGGAAAGAUUUAUCGCCAUGAGAUGGGCCCGCGUAGGAUUAGCUAGUUGGUGAGGUAAUGGCUCACCAAGGCGACGAUCCUUAGCUGGUCUGAGAGGAUGACCAGCCACACUGGGACUGAGACACGGCCCAGACUCCUACGGGAGGCAGCAGUGGGGAAUAUUGGACAAUGGGCGCAAGCCUGAUCCAGCCAUGCCGCGUGUGUGAUGAAGGCCUUAGGGUUGUAAAGCACUUUCGCCGAUGAAGAUAAUGACGGGAGUCGGAAAACAACCCCCGGUUACUUUCGCUGCCACAGCCGCGGCAAUAUGAACGGGGCCACCCCUCCUCCUAAUCACUGCCCCGAACGCACCCCCAGGCCGCCUAUCACCUCUCCUUGAACCGCCCGGCACUCCUCUGCGCCACCCCUCGCGGACUGCGCCCAUCGACUCUCCCGCCCCCGGCUCGCAUCCUGACGCUCCCAUAUCGACCCCAACGCCACUCCAUAUCGACGCAUUCCUAUCCAUUACCUUCUCCUGUGGCCCGCUGCCGUGCUCCCUGACGGGCGCCCCUGGCCGCGCGCCGGUUACGCUCCCCUAAUGCUCUCUCUCCUUCGCCUUCUAGCUAUACUGCCUGCUCCAGCGCCAUCCCUUCUCCACGGCCUACCCUUGUCGCCAUCUGUUCGCUCUGCCCGUA
rnacentral:rRNA from 1 species